GAUAAACGCUAGCGGGAGGCCUAAUACAUGCAAGUUGAGCGGUAUUUCAUUUUCGGAUGAAAGAGAGCGGCGCACGGGUGAGUAACGCGUACACAAUCUGCCUACAAGUAAGGGAUAGCCCUGGGAAACUAGGAGUAAUACCAUAUGUGAUUAUUAAUUUGUAUUAAUAAUUAAAGCUACGGCGCUUGUAGAUGAGUGUGCGUCUGAUUAGCUAGUUGGUGUGGUAAUGGCGCACCAAGGCUACGAUCAGUAGGGGGCGUGAGAGCGUGAUCCCCCCANACGGGUACUGAGACACGGACCCGACUCCUACGGGAGGCAGCAGUAAGGAAUAUUGGACAAUGGGCGCAAGCCUGGUCCAGCCAUCCCGCGUGCAGGAAGACAGCCCUAUGGGUUUUAAACUGCUUUUGGAAGGGAAGAAACACUCGUAUUUAUAUGAGUUUGACGGUACCUUCAGAAUAAGCACCGGCUAACUCCGUGCCAGCAGCCGCGGUAAUGUCGUACGA
rnacentral:rRNA from 1 species